GCCUGGGUGGCUCAGUUGGUUAAGUGUCUGACUUCAGCUCAGGUCAUGGUCUCACGGUUUGUGGGUUCAAGCCCCGUGUCGGGCU
rnacentral:tRNA from 1 species